ensembl:lincRNA
GGGGCUUUGGGGGGAGGGAUUAAAGGAAUUCUUUCUUUUUUUUCUUUUACUUUCUUUUUAAUUUUCACCUUUUAACUGCAAAUCACACUGUACCUGCUUAUGAAGUAUGAGGUGCUGUUAGUGAUUUCUAGGCAAAAAAAGGUUUUUCCUGCAGCUAGCUGACCUAAAUGACAAAAAGCCAGCCCGUGCUCAUAGCCCCUCACACACACACACACACACACACCAGGUUGUUGAUGGACUCGGAGGUGGACCCCAUGACUUGGCUGUUAUAAAUCGUGCUGCUGCUAUGUAUACAUGGACAUGCAGACGUCUCUUCAGCAUGCUAACUUCAAGCCUUUUAGUCACAUGAAACAUGACGCCACUAGUCUCCCGAGGGAUGGUUCCCAUACCCUACCGUCUACGGGGAUGAACGGCUGCAGCCGCAAAGAGUGUGGUUGACACCGCAGAAGAAAUUCUUAGCCUGCCCAGACCUAUCCAGAAGAAGGGAAGUGCGGUAUAAAAGCAGGCCUGCCUCACACCAAAGACCCAGGGACCGCUCCUGCUGGCUCCAUGUAUGGGGGAGGCAGCGGGGCUCAGGAGGCCAAGAAGUAUUUGAAGCUCAGAGAAAUGGGAAGGGGCUGCUUGCAAUUCACUCUGCUACCUCGGAGCCACCCUCAGAGCACAUGUUUGGCAGCUUAGCCCCAACAGGAACCAGGCACCAGGCAGCUGCACUGACUCACUACUCCUCACGGCAACCCUGCCAGGGAGGCUUCACUACUCCCCCCGCAGGGAAGGGACCUGAAGCACAGGGAGGCGAUGUUACCUGACGAAGAUCACAGGCUGCAAACUGCAUAGACGGGUUCCAAGCUGGAGGCUGUCUACUCCAGAGCUUGACCUCUUCUCUCUACCGUAGGCCACCUCCUGACAUCCUUCACCGACUCCCUUCCCCAUGCACCACAGCAAUGCUUGUGGCGAAACAGACAAAGACACCCCGUCCUCUCAGGCUUCUCACAUAAGCUGAAAUUAAGAGAAGCGAGUUUAAUUCACCCAACCCCAACAGGCCCGGAGCCUAACUGGGCAAUCACCAAGCAUCGCAGUGAACAAGACUUGACAACACAGGAAAGGCGAGGGAGUUGUUCCUGUCUCUACUCAGCGAAACAAAGCGCAGUGUUCUUUUCUUCUUUGCAAAAACAAGGGAGGCACGAAGGGAGGUAAGGCUCCUGGAGCCGCAGUAGACACCCGGAGGGGACCCUAGCGGGAGGGAGCUGCUUGUGAGACCAAGCACGGCCCGGCCACUGUCACAGUAGCCUGGCGAUUCAAGGACGACCAACGAGACCAACCCAACAGAGACACUGCUCUAGGUUGCCCCCCACGCCUACGACCUCUGCUUUCUGGCUCCUUACCUGAUCUUGUUGGCGAUCCCAGCUUCACCCAAGCACCCUGCUGGUCUUUGGCUACCUGGUCUCUCCAUUUGAGACUCACUGAUACGACGAAUCAAUCCUCCAGGGUCCCUGGCCUCAGCUCCUGCCAUGUGGACGUCCACAGGAAAGGGAAAUACGAAGAGGACAGAAGAGCCAUCCCUGGGGCACUCAUGUGGAGUGGCCCCUCCCGACUACAGCAGCCUCUGAGCCUCUGAACACGUGCACGUAGUCCUGACGUCACUCUGUGACAUGAAUCAUACCCAACCAGAUUUUACACUGUUAUUGUGCACCCAGCCAGACUAAAAUGUUACUGUACGCCCACACAGGGGAGACGAAGACACAAAAAUUGCAUAAAAGGGUGCAACUGUGCCAUGUUGUGCCCUCGGCCUUUGGUUACGAGUCUGCUGAGUCGGCACUGGCAGGACUAAAGCCACUUCCUGAGAAAACGGCCUCUGUGUCCCCUUUCCCUGCACAAGGAUGGAUUCGGUGUGAGGAGUAAAAGAAAGAAUGGAACUGAGGGUGACUGCGAAACUUGGUCCGAGCCAUUGGAAAAGAGCAGUGAAUGGAAAAGCUGAACUGGGCGGGUCGUGUGGAGUGUUUGAGGGUAGGCGGAGAACAGCUUUAGACACAGAAUUUGCUAUUAAACGGUGAAAAAAGAUGUAAAGCAUGCAGUUGUUUGGUGCAGAAGGAAAACAAACUUCGAAAGAGAAGUCAAAGCUGACUUACAAAUCUGGGAGCGGUCAGAAUGUGUACAGCAUUUAAGUAGUAAGACUGAGUGCUCUUAUCAAGUAUAAACAGACCACGGGCAGUACAGCAACCCUCUGACAUCAAGGGUUGGGAAAGAAGUGUUGACGCUGUCAUACGCAUAGUGCUCCACAAGCUCUAGAGAAAGAUAACACACAGUCUAGACUGCUGCACAACACCAUUCACCACGUCGUCACACAAUUCUUAAAAAAUGUUAAUUGCUCAAAGAAGCAGAAGAAAUGUACUCAUAAUCUAGCGAAAAAUUCAGGCAUACUGACCCACUGAUCACCUAAAUUUUGGAAUUAGAAGACAAUGAUACUUUUAGACAUAACUGUAAAUAUAUUAAAAACUGAGAGAAAAAAAUGAAUAGAGUGAAACAAUAAUUUCAAGAAAGUUAAACUAUAAAAAGAGAAUAACAUUGAAAUUCCAAAAUUAAAACCCACUGCACCUAAAUCAAAUAUUUAUUAGAUGAAUUUAAUGCCAGACUCAAAACAAACAAAAGGAUCAUCAGGUACAAGGCAUGUUAGCAAAAACAUACAGGCUGAAACGGAGAAAAUCAUUUUUUUAAAUCUGAAUUCACUUUACCAUUUCUCACAGUGGCGUGUGGCAUUUUGAGCACAGUAAGAAAAAGUCACAAGGUCCACAAACUCAAAUAAUUUUAUUUUUUUAAAAGAAUGCCUGACACAUAUGGAACAAUAUAAAAUACUCUAACUUAAAAAUUGUAGAGAAAAAAAGAUGAAGAGGAAG